rnacentral:rRNA from 1 species
UACGAAGGAGGCUAGCGUUGCUCGGAAUCACUGGGCGUAAAGCGCACGUAGGCGGACUCUUAAGUCGGUGGUGAAAUCCUGGAGCUCAACUCCAGAACUGCCUUCGAUACUGGGAGUCUUGAGUCCGAGAGAGGUGAGUGGAACUGCGAGUGUAGAGGUGAAAUUCGUAGAUAUUCGCAAGAACACCAGUGGCGAAGGCGGCUCACUGGCUCGGUACUGACGCUGAGGUGCGAAAGCGUGGGGAGCAAACAGG